GAUGAACGCUGGCGGCGUGCCUAAUACAUGCAAGUCGAGCGAACGAACGAGAAGCUUGCUCCUAUGGUGUUAGCGGCGGACGGGUGAGUAACACGUGGAUAACCUACCUAUAAGACUGGGACAACUUCGGGAAACCAUAGCUAAUACCGGAUAAUAUCUUGAACCGCAUGGUUCAAGAGUGAAAGACGCUCUUGCUGUCACUUAUAGAUAGAUCCGCGCUGCAUUAGCUAUUUGGUAAGGUAACGGCUUACCAAGGCAACGAUGCAUAGCCGACCUGAGAGGGUGAUCGCCCACACGGGAACUGAGACACGGUCCAGACUCCUACGGGAGGCAGCAGUAGGGAAUCUUCCGCAAUGGGGGAAAGCCUGACGGAGCAACGCCGCGGGAGUGAUGAAGUUCUUCGGAUCGUAAAACUCUGUUAUUAGGGAAGAACAUAUGGGUAAGUAACUGUGCACAACGUGACGGUACCUAAUCAGAAAGCCACGGCUAACUACGUG
rnacentral:rRNA from 1 species